AGGACGAACGCUGGCGGCGUGCUUAACACAUGCAAGUCGAGCGGAAAGGCCCUUCGGGGUACUCGAGCGGCGAACGGGUGAGUAACACGUGAGUAACCUGCCCCUAGCUUCGGGAUAGCUCCGGGAAACCGGAAUUAAUACCGGAUAUGACCACGGCCGACAUCGGCCACGGUGGAAAGAUUCAUCGGCUAGGGAUGGGCUCGCGGCCUAUCAGCUUGUUGGUGGGGUAACAGCCUACCAAGGCGACGACGGGUAG
rnacentral:rRNA from 1 species